rnacentral:tRNA from 1 species
GUCCACGUGGCGAAACUGGCAAACGCAGCGGUCUCAGACACCGUGCCUCCGGGCAAUGAGGGUUCGAUUCCCUCCGUGGACACCC